rnacentral:tRNA from 1 species
GUGGCUCAGCGGUAGAGCAUCUCCUUGCCAAGGAGAGGGUCGCGGGUUCAAAUCCCGUC